CAAGUCGAACGGUAACAGGAAGCAGCUUGCUGUUUCGCUGACGAGUGGCGGACGGGUGAGUAAUGUCUGGGAAACUGCCUGAUGGAGGGGGAUAACUACUGGAAACGGUAGCUAAUACCGCAUAACGUCGCAAGACCAAAGAGGGGGACCUUCGGGCCUCUUGCCAUCGGAUGUGCCCAGAUGGGAUUAGCUAGUAGGUGGGGUAACGGCUCACCUAGGCGACGAUCCCUAGCUGGUCUGAGAGGAUGACCAGCCACACUGGAACUGAGACACGGUCCAGACUCCUACGGGAGGCAGCAGUGGGGAAUAUUGCACAAUGGGCGCAAGCCUGAUGCAGCCAUGCCGCGUGUAUGAAGAAGGCCUUCGGGUUG
rnacentral:rRNA from 1 species